UACGGAGGAUGCAAGCGUUAUCCGGAUUUAUUGGGUUUAAAGGGAGCGCAGACGGGUCGUUAAGUCAGCUGUGAAAGUUUGGGGCUCAACCUUAAAAUUGCAGUUGAUACUGGCGUCCUUGAGUGCGGUUGAGGUGUGCGGAAUUCGUGGUGUAGCGGUGAAAUGCUUAGAUAUCACGAAGAACUCCGAUUGCGAAGGCAGCACACUAAGCCGUAACUGACGUUCAUGCUCGAAAGUGUGGGUAU
rnacentral:rRNA from 1 species